UUUAACCACAGCAGAUGGUUUAUCCUUGGGUCACAUGGUGCUGAUCUGCAAUAUUGUAGUUGCUAUACUAGUCUUGGCUGUGGUUGGAUUGUUCAUUAUCUCCCGGAAAUAUAAAAAAACAGAUCAACCACCGGAUGAUUUAACAGAGACACAUAAACUGAAGACAGUCUCCGCGAGGUUGGGAGAGUCCAUGACUCUAAACACUGGUGUUACUGAAAUAGAAAGUUUUGAUGUACUGCAGUGGAGGUUUGGAGAAUUAAACACAGAAGACACAAGCCCAUUCACCGUCAUCGCCAAACUGAGUGGUUGUGAUGGGCAAUCCACACACAGCAGAGUACAACUGGAUAAAAUAACUGGUUAUCUUACAAUUAAUGACAUCCGAUCCACAGAUUUUGGAAUGUAUAAACUGAAUAUCUCCAGGAAGGGGAGAAAUGUGAUUUCCAAGACAUUUAUCGUCCAAGAUUCUGCAGAAAAUGGAGAGAACGUCCAACAGGAGACAACAGCAUUAAUGAAUGGAGAGAUUAUGGAAAACA